rnacentral:ribozyme from 13 species
UUUUUUUUUUUUUUUUUAUUUUUUUUUUUUUUUUUUUUUUUUAAAAAA